AUUGAACGCUGGCGGCAUGCUUUACACAUGCAAGUCGAACGGCAGCGCGGGCUUCGGCCUGGCGGCGAGCGGCGAACGGGUGAGUAAUAUAUCGGAACGUACCCAAGAGUGGGGGAUAACGUAGCGAAAGUUACGCUAAUACCGCAUACGAUCUAAGGAUGAAAGCAGGGGAUCGCAAGACCUUGUGCUCCUGGAGCGGCCGAUAUCUGAUUAGCUAGUUGGUGAGGUAAAGGCUCACCAAGGCAACGAUCAGUAGCUGGUCUGAGAGGACGACCAGCCACACUGGAACUGAGACACGGUCCAGACUCCUACGGGAGGCAGCAGUGGGGAAUUUUGGACAAUGGGGGCAACCCUGAUCCAGCAAUGCCGCGUGAGUGAAGAAGGCCUUCGGGUUGGUAAAGGUACGUCUUUUGUUCUAGGGAAGAAACGGGUAGGAGUUCGUAAUAAAGUACUUGUCUAAUAGACGGUACC
rnacentral:rRNA from 1 species